GUAUCGGCAGGGCUGGGCUCCCUCUGAAGGCUCUAAGGAAGUAUCUUUCCUCAUCUCUUACAGAUUUGGCUGGCUCCUGGAAAACGCUGCCAUUCCUUGGCUGGUGGCUGCAUCACUCCAAUCUCUGCCUCUGUCAUCACAGGACCUUCUUCUCUGUGUGUCCUUCUCUGUCUCUUAUUGGACUUUGGGCCCACCCUAAUCUAGUGUGAUCUCAUCUGGAUCCUUACCUUAUCACAUCUGCAAAGACCCUGUUUCCAAAUAAGGUCCCAUUCUGAGGUUCUGAGUUGACAUGAACUUGGGGAGGAGGCACUACCCAUCCCACUAUAGACAUCUCCCCCAAGAAGGCAUCCUGAUGAGCCCUCAUCGCCCUCUGUCCCAGGCUGGGCCACCAUGACACCGACACCUCCUCAUCUCCCCAUUUCAUCAGGGGCAUCUCGUGGCAGAGACCAUGUCUGAGAAGAUACUCAGUAAAUGUGUACUGAGCUGAACUAAACCAUAUCACAGGGACUAGCAACUCUUUAAUGGAUUCCAAGGUCAACGUAUAUGAGAAACAGCUUCCGAGUAGCUUCCCCAAAGUCCAAGAUUCCAGGCCCUGCGGUCCAGAAAUCUCCAGUAACACUCCCAGAAGAAGCUGAUGGUCCAGAAAAUGGUGCUUUGAGGACAGAGAUUCAAGGAUUCCAGGGGUCUGAGAGACACAAGCACAGAGCUUACUUAGUUGACACCCUCACCCAAAUGGAGGUUCCAUGAGGACGAAGAACAGGGCUGCCUUGGUCACAUCUGUUUCCCUGGUUCCGACACAGAGCAAUCAAAACAGGUUUGCUGAAUGAAUGAAUGAAUGGACGAAUGGCAGCUGGGCAUUAGGAUGCAGCGCAAAGGAGAGAGAAGUGGCCAAGUGUCCUUAUACGAGAAAGGCUGAGGGAGAUCUGAGACACAGAGGAGAAGGCUGCGUGAAGACGAAGGCAAGAGACUGCAGCUACGCAGCCCACAAGCCAAGGAUGCCUGAAGCCGUCAGAAACUGGAGGAGACAAGGAAGCGUCCUCGCCAGAGCCUCUGGAGGGAGGGCAGCCCUGGCAACAACCUGAUUUUGCACUUCUGGCCUCCAGAACUUGAGAGAAUACACUUCUGUUGUUUUAGGCCAUCAAGUUGUUUCAGCAGCCAGAGGAAACUAAUACACUCCCUCACAGGAUUGCUGCAAGAAUUAAAAGAGGGGUCCAUGACAGACAAUGUCCCCAAAUGAUGGGUCUUUACAUCUCUGUGUCCAUCACGGAGGAUGGCGGGCACUUAUCCUCAUCUUCAAACUGGACGUGAUGAUGAGACCACAGAAUCCUGAGCAGUCACCCUCCAAAUCUUCCAACAUGAAAGAAGAUCCUGGGCACGUCACUCAACCCCACUAGGACAUGACUGCCCAGAGUAUAUUUUAGGAAUUAUAAUAUUCUCCCCCUUCUCAGGGCUUGAUGAGAAGGAAGCACUUCAAACGACCACAUCAAUGUCUAAAGCAAAAACAGCAACCACGAAUGGUGGAAGUGCUAACAGACAUAAAAGUAAAAUGUGCAAUGACAGUAAGAAUGUCAGUGACGUUUAAAAUUUACAAUGACCUUGUAAAUGACAACGACAGCAGAAAGGAUGGGAGGAAGGAGAUGGCGAUGCUUCAUGGGUGUACUGGACGGGGACCUCUCACCAGACUAUGCAAAGAGGCCCUUUAACUACUCUCCCUGGCUCCAUUCUCUCCUCUUCUCACUCUUGCCCUGCCACUCAAAGUCAGGACUGGAGGAACACUCCUAGCAGAAGGGCGGGAGCAAUAGAUCCAUUUAUCUUUCUAAAAAAUAAAUCUGGCCAGAUCCCUCCCUUUCUUAAGUCCCUUCGAGGAAUUCAAACUCCACUUCCAUACCCAUGAAGUCCUUUGUAUGUGUAAGAAUAAACAGCCUCGGGGCUUCCCUGGUGGCGCAGUGGUUAGGAAUCCGCCUGCCAAUGCAGGGCACACGGGUUCGAGCCCUGGUCCAGGAAGAUCCCACAUGCCGUGGAGCAACUAAGCCCGUGCGCCACAACUACUGAGCCUGCGCUCUAGAGCCGUGAGCCACAACUACUGAAGCCCACGCGCCUAGAGCCGGUGCUCCGCAACAAGAGAAGCCACCGCAAUGAGAAGCACGCGCGCCACAACGAAGAGUGGCCCCAGCUCAUCGCAACUAGAGAAAGCCUGCGUGCAGCAACAAAGACCCAACACAGCCAAAAAUAAAUAAAAUAAAAUAAAUUAAUUAAAGAAAAGAAGAAGAAUAAACAGCCUCCGCUUGAUUAGGUAACAUGUAACAUGGUAGCGGAGGUCCCACCCAAAAGGUACUCAGUGAAUGCUAAUUUCCUUGCUGCCUCCACACUCCCUGCUCUCUUCAACUGGCCAGAAAGAGAACUCUCUUAUUUCCUAUUAACAAACAAUGCCUAGCUAUUAGCUGUAGCUGCAGAUACAUAGAAACAGAGACUAAAUAGAUCUCAGAUUCUUGGCCACUGGCUCCCCAUCCUAUAGGGACACAGUGACCUGCUCUUUCAUGCCAAAGGCACAGGACAUGCUUCCUACAAGGGCUCAGUCCCAGUGAAUGUGGUCAAAGCCUUAGAUUCUCAAGAAGUUUUCAAGGAAAUAUUUUUGCCCUCAAAAUUGCCUCCUUCUUUUUAUCUAGAAUGAUGAUUUAUUUUGUUAUUCAGUGACUGAAAAUUCAUGAAAUUUUGUGGUUAGAGCAAAAACGUCACACAUGAUUCCAUAUGUCCAUGCAGUGGGGCUGAGAAAAUCUGACAGUGAAAACCACCGUUUCUUCCCCUAGAGUUUAAAGGCCUCCAGCCUCUUUUUUUUUUCUUAUAAUACUUUAUUCCCUUAAAAACAUUGCUUUAAAAAAAUCAUAACUAGAUACAAGGUUCUAUAAAUAAAGACAAUGGUCAAAGCACUGUAUUUUCUUAGAUUAGUUUCAAGAUUCAAAUUCUCAAAUGCAAAUGUAACAUUUCCAAGUCAUGGACCCAGAAGUAGACCUGACAGACCAGCUGGUCCAAUCCAGAGAGGCAACAUGGAGAAGUGGAAACAACGGUGGGUCCCAUGAGAAGCAUCCAAGGACCUGGAUUUGAGGUUCAGUCCUCCCUGCACUAGGCACAGGACCUUGGGCAGGUCACUAAACAACCAAGUCCUGGCCUGUAAAACAGAUGAAUCUCACCUGCCCAGCAUGCUUGAGAAAAUUGUGAUAGUAAAUGGAAAAGCUGAAAGUGCUCUAUAGUGACCAGGGAUAAAUAUUCUCCCACACUCUUCACUCUACCUCUCUGGACUCAAGGCCCAUUUGGCCUGGGGAAACAAGAGUAAAGGGAUAAUUAGAGAAAGCCAUGGAACACACAUGCGUAACCAGCAUCUGGAUCAAGAAACAGGAUAUUAUAGCACCCUAGAAGGCCCCUUCACACCUUGUUCCAGUCAUUAGACUUUCCAGGGGGAACCACUAUCCUGACUUCCAAACCUCAUAUUACUUGUACCUAUUUAUGAAUUUCAUGUAAAUGGAACUAGAUAGGUUGAACUCGUCUACAUGACUUCUGCUCAACAUUAAGUUUGUGAAAUUCAUUCACACUGUUAUGUGUAAUUAUAACUUGUUCAUACUUGUUGCCUAUAGUAUGUAACUACAUGACAAUAUCACAAUUCACGUAUCUGUUUUACUCUUGAUGAGCAUUUGUGUAGCUUCCCAUUUGGGGCUGUUAUGAACAUUCAUGUGCAUAUCUUUUGGUGAACAUUUGUGUGCUUAUCUGUUGAGUGUAUAUCUACUAGUGAAAUCGCUGGGUCACGGGGUGUGCAUAAGUUCAGCUUUACAAAAAACUGAUACAGCCAAUCAGUUUCCCAAACUUGUUGUACCAACCUCUACUCCCACCAGCAGUGUAUGAGAGUUCCAGUUGCUCCACAUCUCAACAACACUUGAUACUGUCUGUCUUUUUCAUUUUAGCCAUUCUGGUGGGUUGGAAGUGGCGUCACACUGCAGAAUGAUAUUUUUAAAGUGUAAACCAGAUUAUGUUUCUCUGCCAAUGGUUUCUUUCUGCAAGCAGAAUAAAACCCAACUGUUCAACCUGACCUAUAAGGCCUUGGUUACCUCUGACCUUGUCUCUGACCACUCACUCUACUCACUAUUCCUCCACUCCACCACCUUUCCAAUCUUCAGAUAUGCCAAGGUCAUUCCCAACUCAGGUUCCUUAUAUUUGCUGUUUCCUCUGUCUAGGAAGUUUUCCUCCAGAUCAUCCCAUGAAUAACUACUUCUGGCUCACUCAUACAUUCAAAAAAUAUUACUGAGUGAUUAUCAGGUUCCUUCUCAAAUGUCACCUCCCUCCAAGGAUCUUUCCCUGAUUACCAUCAAAUGUAGUCAAGAUUACUCCAUUACCACUAACACCACCACACGUUCACUCUCUAGCCCCUUAUCUUGCUUUAUUUUCCUGUUUAGUAAUUAUCACUACCUCCCAUUU